GACGAACGCUGGCGGCGUGCUUAACACAUGCAAGUCGAACGGUAAGGCCCUUCGGGGUACACGAGUGGCGAACGGGUGAGUAACACGUGGGUGAUCUGCCCUGCACUUCGGGAUAAGCCUGGGAAACUGGGUCUAAUACCGGAUAGGACCACUGCCUGCAUGGGUGGUGGGGGAAAGCUUUUGCGGUGUGGGAUGGGCCCGCGGCCUAUCAGCUUGUUGGUGGGGUGAUGGCCUACCAAGGCGACGACGGGUAGCCGGCCUGGGAGGGUGACCGGCCACACGGGGACUACGAGACGGCCCAGACCCCUACGGGAGGCAGCAGUGGGGAAUAUUGCACCAUGGGCGCAAGCCUGAUGCAGCGACGCCGCGUGAGGGAUGACGGCCUUCGGGUUGUAAACCUCUUUCAGCACCGACGAAGCGCAAGUGACGGUAGGUGCAGAAGAAGGACCGGCCAACUACGUGCCAGCCGCCGCAGUAA
rnacentral:rRNA from 1 species